ensembl:snoRNA Gm25161 small nucleolar RNA SNORA17
CCUGCACCUAGAGGCUUUGCAGGUAUGGCUGCUGUUUUGCAUGUGUGUUAGUAGGUGGCAGAGAAGACACAUACUAUGCCUACACUCAGUUUUCUAAGCUAUAAACAUCUGAAAGAUUAGCCUAAUCAU